UGGGGAAUAUUGCACAAUGGGCGCAAGCCUGAUGCAGCCAUGCCGCGUGUAUGAAGAAGGCCUUCGGGUUGUAAAGUACUUUCAGCGGGGAGGAAGGUGUUGAGGCUAAUAACCUCAGCAAUUGACGUUACCCGCAGAAGAAGCACCGGCUAACUCCGUGCCAGCAGCCGCGGUAAUACGGAGGGUGCAAGCGUUAAUCGGAAUUACUGGGCGUAAAGCGCACGCAGGCGGUCUGUCAAGUCGGAUGUGAAAUCCCCGGGCUCAACCUGGGAACUGCAUGCGAAACUGGCAGGCUAGAGUCUUGUAGAGGGGGGUAGAAUUCCAGGUGUAGCGGUGAAAUGCGUAGAGAUCUGGAGGAAUACCGGUGGCGAAGGCGGCCCCCUGGACAAAGACUGACGCUCAGGUGCGAAAGCGUGGGGAGCAAACA
rnacentral:rRNA from 1 species